rnacentral:rRNA from 1 species
CCUACGGGGGGCUGCAGUGGGGAAUAUUGGGCAAUGGGCGAAAGCCUGACCCAGCAACGCCGCGUGAAGGAAGAAGGUUUUCGGAUUGUAAACUUCUGUCCUCAGGGAAGAAGAAAGUGACGGUACCUGAGGAGGAAGCCCCGGCUAACUACGUGCCAGCAGCCGCGGUAAUACGUAGGGGGCGAGCGUUGUCCGGAAUGACUGGGCGUAAAGGGCGCGUAGACGGCUGUCUAAGUCUGGAGUGAAAGUCCUGCUUUCAAGGUGGGAAUUGCUUUGGAGACUGGAUGGCUUGAGUGCGGAAGAGGUAAGUGGAAUUCCCAGUGUAGCGGUGAAAUGCGUAGAGAUUGGGAGGAACACCAGUGGCGAAGGCGACUUACUGGGCCGUAACUGACGUUGAUGCGCGAAAGCGUGGGGAGCGAACAGGCUUAGAUACCCCAGUAGUC